rnacentral:rRNA from 1 species
AAAAGAAACUAACAAGGAUUCCCUUAGUAACGGCGAGCGAAAAGGGAAGAGCCCAGCGCUGAAUCUGGUAUCCCCCGGGUGCCAAGAAAUGUGGCGUUUGGGACGAGACAUUGCCUGUACGUGAUGGCUAUCCAAGUCCCUCUUGAACGGGGCCAUCGCCCAUGGAGGGUGCUAGGCCCGUACGAUAGUCUUGUUGUACAGUGCGUCUUGUCCGUAGAGUCGGGUUGCUUGGGAGUGCAGCCCAAAUCAGGUGGUAAACUCCAUCUAAGGCUAAAUAUGACCACGAGACCGAUAGCGAACAAGUACCGUGAGGGAAAGUUGAAAAGAACUUUGAAGAGAGAGUUCAAUAGUACGUGAAACCUCUCGGGGGUAAGCGGGCAGAACUUGCAAGUAUUGAUGGGAGAUUCAGGCUUGGUGCUGGUGACUGCAAGUGCAAAGUUAGGCUGGGAUUCGUUCUUGGCUGGUGUGUGCUUGUUGAUUUGCCGGUACUGCGCCGCAUUUCUCCUUAUCAUCCGGGUUGCAUGCAACUAAAUGGUGUUCUAGGUGCUGGGGUACUGCAAAUCCUCGUGGUUUGAGUCCUGGUUACCGAAUACUGUUGUGGUUGUUGAAAUCGAGUGAACAGGCGUUUGUCGCGGUCAUGGGCUCUGGCGAGCAGGGUAUACAUGAUAUGUGGACGGGUAACCGUAGCAUGUUGUGUGUGCUGGUUGGCAGCCGGAGCUUUUAUGGCUCUGUUCAGAGAAUUGCAAUCUAAAACAUGCGUGGUCUGCCUGUCCCGUCUUGAAACACGGACCAAGGAGUCUAACAUGUACGCGAGUCAUUGAGAUGAGAAAACUCAAAGGCACAAUGAAAGUGAAGAUCCGUUUACACGGAUUGAGGGGAGAUCAUGGCAAUACUUGGAAUUCCGCAAGGUUUGACGAGUACUAAAUUGUAUGCGCAUCUCCUGGACGUCUAUACCUCUGAAGGUGGGGCGUACCUAGAGCGUACACGUUGGGACCCGAAAGAU